CAAGAUGUUACAUUCUCGAAGCACAACUCAUCAACAGCAUCUCAGGACAACAAGAGAGCACAGGCAUGCAGAGUGCAUGCACCACCCAGCUGGUCCCCAGAAGGCAUCCCAAAGGCACUGGUAAGUUGGCUCUGCUUUUUACCAAUAGAGCAGCCUCUUUUGACACCUCCCCCCCAACACCCCUCCUUUCCCUGAGCUCUCUGGAGAGGUUUGACAACUCCCAAUUACAUCUAGCCCUGACACGGACUGGCCCCAGGAAAGGACACUCAGAGCGAUUAACCUUCUGCAUGAGUUGAAAAACCAGAUGCUGGGGAAGUUCUCAGAAUCAGUUCUACCCACUAUUUUCCAAGGAAUGACACUGCUUACCUCCUACUUUAAUCAACCAAGAAGAAAGGAGUUCAGAUACCAGGAACUCACAGGGAUUGUUCU
rnacentral:lncRNA from 1 species